rnacentral:rRNA from 1 species
AUAGGCGGCCAUAGGAGCUUGGUUCACCCAAACCCAUUUCGAACUUGGCAGUUAAGCAAGCUUCCGUAUCAUCGAGUACUGCACUACGCGGGAAACAUGGUAAGCUGCUCUUU